UCUGAGAAUGGAUUUAUUAAUACUUAAUUGUUUGUGUUCGAAGUGUAGGCCAAGCACCACAAAAGUUGGGGACAAGCCACUUCUAUCAAUUUCGAUAUUUGUCCAGGCAGCCCGGAACAAUGUGCUUCUUGCUGUUCCAGCCCUGUUAUAUGCAAUCAAAAACUAUAUCAGAUUCGUGGUGCUAUUACUGUAGCCAGUGUAGCUGCAUCUGUUGCUGCUAUUGCAGCCACCACCACCACGUCUUCUAUCUCUAGAAGGGAUGAGCAGAUGGCUAAAACUGACAUGGACGUUGCUUCCGCUGCGACCCUUGCGGAUGCUCAGUGUAUGGAGGCUGCUGAAGUGAGUAGAGCUGAGAGAAAGGUUCUGCCGGAGAUAUCUGACACUCACUGCCGUGUUAAGAGGAGCUUGGAACAUUGCAUCAGUGAUUACAUGAUAAAGAAUUGGCUACUUUUGAAGAUGCAGCAACGUUAGUAAUGGUAGCAAUGGAAGCUCGAGUAGUAGUCACAGUAGCUAACUUAUUCCAGAGGAUAAUUUCUUGGUAAUUGCUAGCAGAGAAUGGUUUGCAAGAGGUUG